CGCGGCUCCGCAGCCCGGGGGCCCGGCCGGCAGGGAGCGCCCGCGGAGCCCGGGCCGGGGCGGGUGCGCGGGGCGCCCGGCUCACCUGCAGCGCCGCGCCAGGAAGCGUUCAGCGCGAGAGGGCGCGCCCGGCGCUGGCUCUCCCGCCCCGCGGCCGCCCGCUGGGCCUGGCCCGCGCCCCGCGCCCUUGGCAUGGCCGUGGCCGCCGCGCCGCCUCCGGAAGGCCGGCUUCCCGGAACAGCCGGAGGGCGGCGGGGAAUCCGUGCCGAGGCCCUGGAGCCACCCCUCGCCUUCCCUCUCCCGCCUGAGCCGCGCUGGCGCACUGGAGGCGGACUCUGGAGGCGCGGGCUGCGCCCAAAAGGCCAGAGCAGGUCGAGGGGCAGCCAAGGGUACGGGGACUUCCCCACUGUCCCGCCAGGGAUCCCCAUUCCCCAACGCCCCGAGCCCGCCAGGCCCGCCCAGGGACCCGGGAGGCUGGCCACCCGGGCAGCCGCGCGCUACCCUGCCUGGGGCUCGCCCUCUGCGCUCUGCCAGCCUUCCACCCGAGCGCCCGGCCCCAGCGCGCACAGGGUUAAGCAGGAGCAGACCAAGAAACGGAGGAACGGAGAGGUGAAGUGUCUAGUCCAAGUCACAAGACUGGGAAACGUUGGGGCUGCGCACAGAACUCAGGGCUCUCGACUCCCUGGCACCGCGGGGCCUCAGGUGCUCAUUUCACGGGCAAGGAAUGGGGGACCCCAGAGACUGGCAGGCUGGCACUGCCUGAGACUCACUGUAGGACCUUGGACAAGUUACACCUCCCCUGGUUUCCUCGUUCUUAAAUCGAUGGAGUGGACUGCCGUGAUUCCUGAUUUCCCUUGGAAUCCAAGGGGCUAGCUGAGCCCCGAAGGUCUAGGGCCUCGGGGUGGGACUCCACGAGUGGGCGAGGUAGCCGCGGCCUGUGCAGAGAGAAGAAAAGGUUUCCCCUUUCGCUCCCCAUCUCCGCCAGCCUUCCCCCGCCCUGCCUCCAUCCCUCCCAGCCGGCCCCUAGGAGGCUGAACUGCG
rnacentral:lncRNA from 1 species